GUUCCUUGGGAAAAAUUGCGCCAAGGGCAGUGGCUCUGAAUGGUCCAAGAUUUCUCAUGUGCCGUAUAUUUAUAUACGAGAAGAAUGUGUAGGCUGAUCAAAAGACAAAGGAAGAAUGAGAAGUGGAAUAGUUAGGCCAUGGAUGAUGGUUGUUGCUACCCUCAACCUCUUGAGCUUGUAAAAAGGAGAGUUUGGGAUGAGGAAGAGUAGAAUUUGGGAGUUAUAGAUGAUUAUUGCUGCCCUUAACCUCUGCUGAGAACAUCAAAUUGAGACAGAAAUCUUACCUUGAGCUCUUGAGCUUGUAAAAAGGCAGUGUCAAGAUUUGAGUUAUUUUCCAGAGAAGAUAUUUGGCAGCCUCACCCAAUUGAGGGAUUAGGUAUUGGAGAUUUCUCAGAGAAAUUGGAUUCUUUCAUUAUCUGAAUUUAAUCCAAGACAUCCCAUCCUUUGAAAUACUAGAGAUACAUGGGGAUUGUGGUGUAGAGUAAAGUCUCUUUCAUAUCAACUCUAAUGCUUCACUGCCCGAAACUCACACUAUAUGUGUAUCUCUAUCAAGUGGAAUCUUUGCCAGAGUGG